GAUGAAGAGGAUUAUACACAGGAUAACUAUGAUACAGUGAAAUCGUUGCCAGCUUCAGGACAUUAUGGAAAAUCGCGAGUGGGUAACACGUCGCACACGAAGCUUCAAGAUUUAGCUGAUGAGAUGAGGCUUCGAGGAGG
rnacentral:sRNA from 1 species